rnacentral:rRNA from 1 species
AUUGAACGCUGGCGGCAUGCCUUACACAUGCAAGUCGAACGGCAGCACGGGAGCAAUCCUGGUGGCGAGUGGCGAACGGGUGAGUAAUAUAUCGGAACGUGCCCAGUCGUGGGGAUAACGUAGCGAAAGCUACGCUAAUACCGCAUACUAUCUAUGGAUGAAAGCGGGGGAUCGCAAGACCUCGCGCGAUUGGAGCGGCCGAUAUCAGAUUAGGUAGUUGGUGAGGUAAAGGCUCACCAAGCCGACGAUCUGUAGCUGGUCUGAGAGGACGACCAGCCACACUGGGACUGAGACACGGCCCAGACUCCUACGGGAGGCAGCAGUGGGGAAUUUUGGGACAAUGGGCGCAAGCCUGAUCCAGCAAUGCCGCGU